rnacentral:rRNA from 1 species
AUGAACGCUAGCGGCAGGCCUAACACAUGCAAGUCGAGGGGCAGCACGUUAAAGAGUUUACUCUUUAUGGUGGCGACCGGCGGACGGGUGCGUAACGCGUAUGCAACCUGCCUGACACAGGGGGAUAAUCCGAAGAAAUUUGGUCUAAUACCCCAUAAUACCGAUAUAGGCAUCUAUGUUGGUUGAAAGCUUUGGUGGUGUCAGAUGGGCAUGCGUUGUAUUAGCUAGUUGGUGAGGUAACGGCUCACCAAGGCGACGAUACAUAGGGGGACUGAGAGGUUAACCCCCCACACUGGUACUGAGACACGGACCAGACUCCUACGGGAGGCAGCAGUGAGGAAUAUUGGUCAAUGGGCGGAAGCCUGAACCAGCCAUGCCGCGUGCAGGAAGACGGCUCUAUGAGUUGUAAACUGCUUUUGUACUAGGGUAAUUUGCGGUACGUGUACCGUAUUGAAAGUAUAGUACGAAUAAGGAUCGGCUAACUCCGUGCCAGCAGCCGCGGUAAUACGGAGGAUCCAAGCGUUAUCCGGAUUUAUUGGGUUUAAAGGGUGCGUAGGCGGCAGAUUAAGUUAGAGGUGAAAUUCCGAGGCUCAACCUUGGCACUGCCUCUGAUACUGGUUUGCUAGCGAGUAGAUGCUGUAGGCGGAAUGUGUGGUGUAGCGGUGAAAUGCAUAGAGAUCACACAGAACACCGAUUGCGAAGGCAGCUUACAAAUCUAUAUCGGACGCUGAGGCACGAAAGCGUGGGGAGCAAACAGGAUUAGAUACCCUGGUAGUCCACGCUGUAAACGAUGAUUACUAGGUGUGGGGGGUCUGACCCCUUCCGUGCCGGAGUUAACACAAUAAGUAAUCCACCUGGGGAGUACGACCGCAAGGUUGAAACUCAAAGGAAUUGACGGGGGCCCGCACAAGCAGUGGAGUAUGUGGUUUAAUUCGAAGCAACGCGAAGAACCUUACCAGGGCUUGACAUCCUACUAACGAAGCAGAGAUGCAUUAGGUGCCCUUCGGGGAAAGUAGAGACAGGUGGUGCAUGGUUGUCGUCAGCUCGUGCCGUGAGGUGUCGGCUUAAGUGCCAUAACGAGCGCAACCCUUGUUGUCAGUUACUAACAGGUUCUGCUGAGGACUCUGACAAGACUGCCAUCGUAAGAUGUGAGGAAGGUGGGGAUGACGUCAAAUCAGCACGGCCCUUACGUCCGGGGCGACACACGUGUUACAAUGGUCGGUACAGAGGGCAGCUACCUGGUGACAGGAUGCGAAUCUCGAAAGCCGGUCUCAGUUCGGAUUGGAGGCUGAAACUCGCCUCCAUGAAGUUGGAUUCGCUAGUAAUCGCGCAUCAGCCAUGGCGCGGUGAAUACGUUCCCGGGCCUUGUACACACCGCCCGUCAAGCCAUGGGAGCCGGGGGUACCUGAAGUGCGUAACCGCGAGGAGCGCCCUAGGGUAAAACUGGUGACUGGGGCU